rnacentral:rRNA from 1 species
UACGGAGGGUGCAAGCGUUAUCCGGAUUCACUGGGUUUAAAGGGUGCGUAGGUGGGUUGGUAAGUCAGUGGUGAAAUCUCCAGGCUUAACUUGGAAACUGCCAUUGAUACUAUCAAUCUUGAAUACCGUGGAGGUCAGCGGAAUAUGUCAUGUAGCGGUGAAAUGCUUAGAUAUGACAUAGAACACCAAUUGCGAAGGCAGCUUGCUACACAGUUAUUGACGCUGAGGCACGAAGGCGUGGGGAUCAAACAGG